AAGGAGGUGUGACAACGUCCACCUGGAGAAUGAGGAUAAGAAUUAAAGAAGAAAUCAGGCGUCCACCUGGAGAAUGAGGAUAAAGAAUUAAAGAAGAAAUCAGGCGUCCACCUGGAGAAUGAGGAUAAAGAAUUAAAGAAGAAAUCAGGCGUCUACCUGGAGAAUGAGGAUGAAGAAUUAAAGAAGAAGUCAGGCGUCCACCUGGAGAAUGAGGAUGAAUAAUUAAAGAAGAAAUCAGGCGUCCACCUGGAGAAUGAGGAUGAAGAAUUAAAGAAGAAAUCAGGCGUCCACCUGGAGAAUGAGGAUGGAGAAUUAAAGAAGAAAUCAGGCAUCCACCUGGAGAAUGAGGAUGAAGAAUUAAAGAAGAAGUCAGGCGUCCACCUGGAGAAUGAGGAUAAAGAAUUAAAGAAGAAAUCAGGCAUCCACCUGGAGAAUGAGGAUGAAGAAUUAAAGAAGAAAUUAGGCGUCCACCUGGAGAAUGAGGAUGAAGAAUUAAAGAAGAAAUCAGGCGUCCACCUGGAGAAUGAGGAUGAAAAAUUUAAGAAGAA
rnacentral:lncRNA from 1 species